rnacentral:rRNA from 4 species
AAAUUGAAGAGUUUGAUCAUGGCUCAGAUUGAACGCUGGCGGCAGGCCUAACACAUGCAAGUCGAACGGUAACAGGAAGCAGCUUGCUGCUUCGCUGACGAGUGGCGGACGGGUGAGUAAUGUCUGGGAAACUGCCUGAUGGAGGGGGAUAACUACUGGAAACGGUGGCUAAUACCGCAUAACGUCGCAAGACCAAAGAGGGGGACCUUCGGGCCUCUUGCCAUCAGAUGUGCCCAGAUGGGAUUAGCUUGUUGGUGAGGUAACGGCUCACCAAGG